rnacentral:rRNA from 1 species
ACGAGCGCAACCCACAUCCCUAGUUGCCAGCAGUUCGGCUGGGCACUCUAUGGAAACUGCCCGUGAUAAGCGGGAGGAAGGUGUGGAUGACGUCAAGUCCUCAUGGCCCUUAUGGGUAGGGCUUCACACGUCAUACAAUGGUACAUACAGAGGGCCGCCAACCCGCGAGGGGGAGCUAAUCCCAGAAAGUGUAUCGUAGUCCGGAUCGUAGUCUGCAACUCGACUGCGUGAAGUUGGAAUCGCUAGUAAUCGUGGAUCAGCACGCCACGG